rnacentral:rRNA from 1 species
AACGAACGCUGGCGGCGUGCCUAACACAUGCAAGUCGAGCGCGAAAAGGGCAACCUGAGUAGAGCGGCGCACGGGUGCGUAACACGUGGGUAAUCUGCCUUAGAGUCGAGGAUAACCUUCCGAAAGGUUGGCUAAUACUCGGUAAGCUUACGGUGUCUUCGGACGCUGUGGGAAAAGUAGGCCUCUGUUUACAAGCUUACGCUCUGAGAUGAGCCCGCGGCCCAUCAGCUAGUUGGCGGGGUAACGGCCCACCAAGGCAACGACGGGUAGCUGGUCUGAGAGGACGAUCAGCCACACUGGAACUGAGACACGGUCCAGACUCCUACGGGAGGCAGCAGUGGGGAAUUUUCCACAAUGGGCGAAAGCCUGAUGGAGCAACGCCGCGUGUGUGAUGAAGGUUUUCGGAUCGUAAAGCACUUUCGACCGGGACGAAAAACCUCUGGCUAACAUCCAGGGGCCUGACGGUACCGGGAGAAGAAGCACCGGCUAACUCUGUGCCAGCAGCCGCAGUAAAAC